UUCAGUCAUUGUUUUGGGUGGA
rnacentral:miRNA from 2 species